GCUCAGAUUGAACGCUGGCGGCAGGCUUAACACAUGCAAGUCGAGCGGAGAUGAGGUGCUUGCACCUUAUCUUAGCGGCGGACGGGUGAGUAAUGCUUAGGAAUCUGCCAUUUAGUGGGGGACAACAUCUCGAAAGGGAUGCUAAUACCGCAUACGUCCUACGGGAGAAAGCAGGGGAUCUUCGGACCUUGCGCUAAAUGAUGAGCCUAAGUCGGAUUAGCUAGUUGGUGGGGUAAAGGCCUACCAAGGCGACGAUCUGUAGCGGGUCUGAGAGGAUGAUCCGCCACACUGGGACUGAGACACGGCCCAGACUCCUACGGGAGGCAGCAGUGGGGAAUAUUGGACAAUGGGCGGAAGCCUGAUCCAGCCAUGCCGCGUGUGUGAAGAAGGCCUUUUGGUUGUAAAGCACUUUAAGCGAGGAGGAGGCUACUAGUAUUAAUACUACUGGAUAGUGGACGUUACUCGCAGAAUAAGCACCGGCUAACUCUGUGCCAGCAGCCGCGGUAAUACAGAGGGUGCGAGCGUUAAUCGGAUUUACUGGGCGUAAAGCGUGCGUAGGCGGCUGAUUAAGUCGGAUGUGAAAUCCCUGAGCUUAACUUAGGAAUUGCAUUCGAUACUGGUCAGCUAGAGUAUGGGAGAGGAUGGUAGAAUUCCAGGUGUAGCGGUGAAAUGCGUAGAGAUCUGGAGGAAUACCGAUGGCGAAGGCAGCCAUCUGGCCUAAUACUGACGCUGAGGUACGAAAGCAUGGGGAGCAAACAGGAUUAGAUACCCUGGUAGUCCAUGCCGUAAACGAUGUCUACUAGCCGUUGGGGUCUUUGAGACUUUAGUGGCGCAGCUAACGCGAUAAGUAGAC
rnacentral:rRNA from 1 species